CCUAGCUACUUGGGAGGCUGAGGCAGGAGAAUCGCUUGAACCCGGGAGAUAGAAGUUGCAGUGAGUGAAGAUCACACCAUUGCACUCCAGCCUGGGAGACAGAGGGAAACGCUGGCUAAAAAAAAAAAAAAAAACUGCACUUGGCUUAGGGAGGCAAGGGGCUGGGGAGACAGUGGUAUCAGCAGCAGCCUGGGGUGCAUUUGAUGGCCCCCAGAGGUGUAUGUGACCAGGCCCAGCUAGAGGAGGCAGCUUCAGGCUAGCACCCCAGCAGGAAAGAACAGUCCUUAUGCCCGGUGGCUUCAACAAUUAAAUCAGGGUUGCAUCUCAUCAUGAGUGGAUCUCACAGCCAGGCAGAUUGAUAGCUGUGAUCGUCCUGACGUGUUAUGUGUCCCUCUCUGGAUGCAGGGGCCAUAGUACUGACCUCACUAAAACAUAUGAUCUGAGAAAGGGGGUGGUGUUUCCCCAAAGGAAAAGGGGAGGAGUGAUACUGGGUGGGACAGAACGAGCAGCUGCCCACUGUCUCUCCUGGCUUUCCUAUUGCCCAGUGUUCUCCAGUCAACUACAGGUGCACAUGGUACUACAGCUCUGCCCUGUGCUUGGGGACCACAUGUACUCUGCCCGUGUGGGCACUGUCCUGGGCCAGCGAUUUCUGCUGCCAGCUGAGAACAAGCCCCAAAGACAGGUCCUGGAUGAAGCCCUCCUCAGAUGCCUCCACCUGACCCCUUCCCAGGCUGCCCAGCUGCCCUUGCACCUCCACCUACAUCGGCUCCUCCUCCCAGGCACCAGGGCCAGCGACACCCCCAUCGAGCUCCUGGCACCACUGCCCCCUUAUUUCUCCAGGACCCUACAGUGCCUGGGGCUCUGCUUACAAUAGUCCUCCCUCUGUUCCUGACCCCCUCACACACACUGGAAGGUGAGGGUGGGGGCUCUGCAGUCAGACAAACCUAAGAUCACAUCCUGGACAGGCCACUUGCUUGCUGUGUGGCACUGGGCAAG
rnacentral:sRNA from 1 species